rnacentral:rRNA from 1 species
CAGUCGCCACGGUAAUACGAGGGGGGCAAGCGUUGUUCGGAUUUAUUGGGCGUAAAGGGUGCGUAGGCGGGUUGGCAAGUCUUGUGUGAAAUCUUCGGGCUCAACCCGAAGCCUGCACGAGAAACUACCGGGCUUGAGUAUUGGAGAGGUGAGUGGAAUUUCCGGUGUAGCGGUGAAAUGCGUAGAUAUCGGAAGGAACACCUGUGGCGAAAGCGGCUCACUGGACAAUAACUGACGCUGAUGCACGAAAGCUAGGGGAGCGAACAGGAUUAGAGACCCCUGUAGUCCCUGUCUCUUAUAC